AGGAAAUCCUCGUCUAUUUGCUCAUUCGCAGUUAACGUUAGAUGUAGCAGUCUGAGGCGAAAAGGAGCAGAAAAUAUCGUUGAAACAUAAGAUUCUAUUGCUUUACAAGGGAAUCUCAAUUCUCGAAGUUAUUUUCGCUGAACGUUAGAUUUAGCAGUCUGAGGCGAAAAGGAGCAGAAAAGAUCGUUGAAACAUAAGCAUGGUUUUCAAGUGAAUGUCGAUUCUCGAAGUUCUUUUCUGCAAAAUGAAGGUCAGAAGCCUGGUGUUUUACUUCAACUGUCUUGUUGCCGUAGCAGCAUCAAGCCACGAAUCCUACUGUCCAGCGUCCAUCCAUUCAGCAGGCGCGCGCAUAACUCAAGUUGACCUUGCCCUACAGAGCAAGCAUGUGAAAAAGCGUCUUCAGGGCCAAAGUCAGAUGUCAUGUAGUCAGCGGUGUCUGCAGCAAGACUGGUGUAUAUCGGUGAACUACGAAGUGUCUCGACCGGAAGGAGGGGCCUGCGAAUUGAACACAUACGGAGUCGAGAUGUUGGCCGACGCAAAUCCCAAAAACCCAGAGUUUAAAA